CAAUUGACGGCGUGUGCCAUCCCACACAUCCCGAUCAUGGCGUGUGACACAACUGGAUGUGCGUGCCACGACCAGGACGUGUGGGAUGGCACAUGUUGUCA
rnacentral:pre_miRNA from 1 species